rnacentral:lncRNA from 1 species
UCUUUUGUUUUACUCUGUUAAAGAAUCAGUUCAAAAAAAAAAAAAUUAAUUAACCAUGAAACUACACUUUAUCAAGUAGGGUACACCUAAUCUCGCUUUUGGUUUUGUUUCAAUCCAUAUGUAAUAUGUUCUUUAGUUCUGUUUAAUCUAAUAUUUUAGUUGUUUUUUUUUUUGAAACAAUCUAAUGUUUUAAUUUGGAUUCGAUUUUAAGAAUACGACUAAUCUGAUGAUGUAUUUCCAAGAAUCUAAAGUUCGAGGCUAUGAGCAAACUCAAGAAUACCAAUAUUGAAAUUUGUUAUGUUACUUCUGGUUCGACUUUAACUAAAUUGAUAAGAAAUAUAUAAAAUAAAUUAUACAUAAUCAAUCGAUAUUAUUACAAAAUGUAUUCACAAACACAUGAUAUAAUGAAUAAAUCCAAUAAAAAUAACAAUCUCAGAAAAUUUGUUUCUUGAUCUCGAGGUCAAGCUACAAGACGGACCAAUACGAAUCAAAAUCAAGAACGGACUAUUGUCUCGAAGCAGUGGAGACCGUCGAGCUCCAGAGCAAACCUCGGAGUCUUCUGCACCAAACUUAUCUUAUUGCUUGCGUUUUCCUCCUUCUGCGUCUGCGUUUGCAGUACGGCAGGUUUGNN